CGGGUAGAGUAAUGCGUGACCAACCUGCCCCAUGCUCCAGAAUAGCUCUUGGAAACGGGUGGUAAUGCUGGAUGCUCCAACUUGACGCAUGUCUUGUUGGGAAAGUGUUUAGUUGCAUGGGAUGGGGUCGCGUCCUAUCAGCUUGUAGGCGGGGUAAUGGCCCACCUAGGCUUCGACGGGUAGCCGGCCUGAGAGGGCGGACGGCCACAUUGGGACUGAGAUACGGCCCAGACUCCUACGGGAGGCAGCAGAG
rnacentral:rRNA from 1 species